AUAGGUUUUCACCUUUCGCUCAGUGGGUGAGGUGAGCCAGUCAAGCGUCAGCUCUCCCAACUCUGCUCUCUCCUGUGUUGCUUUAGCUAAGUGCCAGUAUUGGGAUUCGGGGCUUUUAAUCCUGCUGUUAAACGCUGUGGCUUUGUCAGAGGGAGGAAAAAAAAAAAACCACUGGAUUGAUCUGGGAACAAAGCGUUGCUUUUGAGAAUGAGGGAGCCGUUUGAACCCAGCUAAGUUGAGACUUGCCCCGCUGGCCACCCCCUGAUCGCUGCGGACAUUAUGAAGCAUUGGAUUACAUCUCCGGGACUGCCACUGUGUAUGAAGUGUUUCUGUGGAAUUCUCUGUAUUGUCUAACAACAUCUACUUGAGCUCAGAGGCUGAGCUGGUGGGAGGGAAGGGGGGUUCCCUUUAAGAGCGAAGGUGUGUGGUAUUGGUGAGCCAUGGCUGGAAUCUUAAAAAGCCAUACCUGCCAAAGUGAAAGAGCCGGAGCACUUUGGUGUGCCGAAGUUUCAGGUGAACUUUGGCAUGUGCAUAUCUUCCUCUGACUUCUAUAUCAACAG